rnacentral:rRNA from 1 species
UACAGAGGUCCCAAGCGUUGUUCGGAUUCACUGGGCGUAAAGGGUGCGUAGGCGGUCGGGUAAGUCUGAUGUGAAAUCUCACAGCUUAACUGUGAAACUGCAUUGGAUACUAUCCGGCUCGAGGAAUGGAGGGGAGACUGGAAUACUUGGUGUAGCAGUGAAAUGCGUAGAUAUCAAGAGGAACACCAGUGGCGAAGGCGAGUCCCUGGACAACUUCUGACGCUGAGGCACGAAAGCGUGGGGAGCGAACAGG